GCGCGGGAAGGCGGUGGGCGUGGCCAGUCAAAAACCGUCUCCUUGGAGGAGAUCCUGAGGAGAAAAAAAAAACCGCUGGACAAAAUGGCGGCCGGGUGAGGUUCGUGCGGUUGCUGCAGGGCGUUGGCGAAAGGCCACGGCUGAGGGAUUAUCUGACACUUCAUUUCACCAGCAGAGCUGCCUGUUUGGGGGAAGUUAAGUUUAACUGCUGCUUUUGCAAAGCAAUUGAGAAAGAGGAAAUACUUGGCUGAUUUCUUCUGAUUCUUUCAAAAAGCUCAGCACGCAUCCAUGUAUCUUCUGCUAUCUUUGCACUGUAUGAAAAAGAAACAUAUCCAGUCCUUUUAAUUGAGAAGAUUGGAAAAGAGGUGAUUUUUAAAAGAUGGCUGUUGGGUACUGGAAUUCCUGCUAUAAGCACUCAUUUGUAUAUUUGAUGGCUUGUCAUGUCUCAUAAUCUUGACUGUCUAUCAGCCAUUCUUGAAUCCAGUUGAAAAAAUAAAUAUGUUUUCAACGCUCA